GACGAGGGAUCCUAGCGUUGUUCGGAAUCAUUGGGCGUAAAGAGUAUGUAGGCGGCCUUGUAAGUCAGUUGUGAAAGCCCCGGGCUCAACCCGGGAAGUGCAUUCGAAACUGCGAGGCUAGAGUAUCGGAGAGGUUGGUGGAAUUCUCGGUGUAGAGGUGAAAUUCGUAGAUAUCGAGAGGAACACCGGUGGCGAAGGCGGCCAACUGGACGAAUACUGACGCUGAGACACGAAAGCGUGGGGAGCAAACAGG
rnacentral:rRNA from 1 species